AACGAACGCUGGCGGCAGGCUUAACACAUGCAAGUCGAACGGGUGUAGCAAUACAGCAGUGGCAGACGGGUGAGCAGCACGUGGGAACGCGCCCUUCGGUUCGGGAUAACCCAGGGAAACUUGGGCUAAUACCGGAUACGCCCUUAGGGGGAAAGAUUUAUUGCCGAAGGAACGGCCCGCGUCCGAUUAGCUAGUUGGUGAGGUAACGGCUCACCAAGGCGACGAUGGGUAGCUGGUCUGAGAGGAUGACCAGCCUCACUGGGACUGAGACACGGCCCAGACUCCUACGGGAGGCAGCAGUGGGGAAUAUUGGACAAUGGGCGCAAGCCUGAUCCAGCCAUGCCGCGUGGGUGAUGAAGGCCCUAGGGUUGUAAAGCCCUUUCAGCGGGGAAGAUAAUGACGGUACCCGCAGAAGAAGCCCCGGCUAACUUCGUGCCAGCAGCCGCAGUAA
rnacentral:rRNA from 1 species